rnacentral:rRNA from 1 species
GACGAACGCUGGCGGCGUGCUUAACACAUGCAAGUCGAACGGAAAGGCCCUGCUUUUGUGGGGUGCUCGAGUGGCGAACGGGUGAGUAACACGUGAGUAACCUGCCCUUGACUUUGGGAUAACUUCAGGAAACUGGGGCUAAUACCGGAUAGGAGCUCCUGCUGCAUGGUGGGGGUUGGAAAGUUUCGGCGGUUGGGGAUGGACUCGCGGCUUAUCAGCUUGUUGGUGGGGUAGUGGCUUACCAAGGCUUUGACGGGUAGCCGGCCUGAGAGGGUGACCGGCCACAUUGGGACUGAGAUACGGCCCAGACUCCUACGGGAGGCAGCAGUGGGGAAUAUUGCACAAUGGGCGGAAGCCUGAUGCAGCAACGCCGCGUGAGGAAUGACGGCCUUCGGGUUGUAAACCGCUUUCGCCUGUGACGAAGCGUGAGUGACGGUAAUGGGUAAAGAAGCACCGGCUAACUACGUG